UAGUGGAAGCUGUCGGAUCAAACCAACCGACCGAGUCACCGAAGGCCAUGGCGAAUAGAGGCGAAAAGCUGCCGCUUCCUCUCAGAGAGUUUGAUCCGCCGAAAGGACAGACGCAGAGGCAGGUUAAAUUUCCGAAGGGCAAGAAGGCGAAGCGUGUGGACGCCGACGGAAUCCAGGACGGGAACGGUGAGAAGAAGAGAUGGAUGGACCCCAGUCUCGCUGCCAAGGAGCGUUCCAAGCGCCGCAACAAAAUGCGAGAAAGCGAAGUCUUGGGUGACCAGGUGGACGGCCUUUCCGGCGAAGUGCAGUACGAGGAUAAUACUAACUUUGAGGAUGAUGGUAUUCAAAUAGAACCAUUCAAUUUGAAGCAAGAGAGGGAGGAAGGCUAUUUUGAUGCAAAUGGAAAUUUUGUUGAGUAUGCUAAACAAAAUGAAAUCAAGGAUGCAUGGCUAGAUAGUGUUGUAGUUGAUACCAAGUUGGCAGGAAAGUUUAAGCCAAAAGCAUCUGCAGAGGAGGCAUAUGAUGAUCUGUCUUCAGAUGAUGUUGGAAAAAUAAAAAGGAGAAUAGCAAAUGCACUUCAACCUGGAGAAACAAUAAUUCAAGCUCUAAAAAGGCUGAAAGGCCCUUCAACGGAUAAGAAAGCAAAGAUGUUAGAGACUUCAAAAUGGAUUUUUGAUCAACUCACUGAAGAUGCUAUGAAACUGAUGGAGAAUGGAGAGUACAAUGUUUACUAUGAAGAUCAGGAGACUUUUGUUCGGGAGGCAGAAGGAUAUGAGCGUUUAGCUCAUGCAAAGGCAGACAAAUCAAAUAGAACAACACAUGCUGAACCGACUGAUGGAGAAGAUAUAUUUUCUGAUGAUGUUCAGCAUAGAGAACAAGUAUCAUCUAUAUGGGACAUUCGUCCUGGAACUUCAGUACUUGCAGAUUCUGCUCAACAAGCAUCACCAGGUGAUGGUGGUGAUCAGUUUGACAUGUUUGGGGAUGAUGACGAUACUACCAAUGUGAAUCCACCCACCCCAAGUGCUGUCAGCUCUGCUUCAGAUUUUCGACAAGAUAAUCAACCUACAUCAAAACCCUUAAGUUCUUCCGAAGACUUGGACUCUGGAGAUGUCAGUCAUGGAAGGGCUGAAAAUGAUUAUGUAUAUGAUGAAUCAUCAGGUUACUACUACAAUAACAGCUUUGGUUAUUAUUAUGACUCAACCUCGGGAAUGUACUGUUCUGCUACAACAGGGACAUGGUAACUUUACCUCUUUCAUGUGAUGCAGUAAAUCAUUUUGGUCUUCUGAGUUUCUUGUGAUAGUAUUAGUUGUAUCCAAGAAUGAACUUGUCACAAAAAAAUCUGAUGGUUAUCUGCUCAUCCCCUGAUAGUAAAAAUGAACUGGGGUUUCAGCUGAAUCCAAUCUGAAUCUGAUUUGUGCCUGGCUCUAGCCUACAGCGACAUUAAAUUGAUUUCCACCUAUCGGUGAUUUCAAGUAGCAAACUAAACACCUGACUAUACCCAAAAUUAAAAAAAACACCAAUAGUUCUUAAAACACUCGUUUUAGCCAGAAAAAUAUCCAAUUUAAUUCCAAUAAAUUAAAAUCUAAUAAUCCCUAAAUAUAUCUUAGUGAAGGUUAUGAGUAUAACAAAGAGUCUACUUAAAGUUGAACUGCAUGGUUUGAGAACAGCAAGCACAGGCUCCAAACUGUGGGGAGCUUCAGGGUAUGUUGAGAAUCCCUUCUUGCACAUUGGUGAUUGGCAUCACAGGAGGAAAGUGAGGGAGACGUCAACGUGGCAAGUAGUGGAGAGGAUGGUGGCAUCGCUAGGGUUUUCUCCAGCUCUUGAGACAACAAAGAGGGGAGGAGCAGGAGAUCCCGCAGUCACUGGCACUGGAGGAGCAGCAGCCAUGCAAUGACGACGGGCUGCAGAAGGCGGGCUUUCUGUAUGUGAUAAAGGUAGGAGAUGCUGCACUGCACAGAAAUCUUGUUCUAGAGGAAGACAAUUGUUUGUUGUUGAUGUCAGUGUGUGGAUGGAAUUGUGGCUUGGAUUAGAGCAUUAUUCUAUGUCAGUCAAUAUGGGUGAAACUUCUCAUUUUGCUCGCCCGUCAGCAUAUGGAACAGCUUUGAGAUGAUGCCUAAAGUUUGACUUCUUGUGGCCAUGGAGAUGGCCUUCGUGCAGAAUUGUUGACCUUAGGUGAGACCAGUGAUCUUUGCAUGAGACGGUGAGGACUUCUAUGAGGUCCCAAGAUAGUGAUGGACUUCAAUCAUGGUUCAUGAUGAAUUGAUGAUGACAAAAUUGCUGACCUCAGGCAAAAUCAAUGACCUUUGCGCAAGAUUCAUGAGACUGAUUAUAGUUUCCACAUGGUCCCGAUACUGAGAUGGCUUUGCUCACAGUUUGCAAUGACAGCAAAGGCUUCGGUCAUUCCCAGGAUGAUGACAAAGGCUUUGCUCGUGGUCCGUGAUAACAACCCAACUUUGGUGGUGUAUGUGAUGCCUCUGCAAGGUCAACAAUCAUGGUACACAUAUGAUGAGCAAAAUGAUACCUACACAGAAAUACAGAGCUCAACAACAGGAAGCUGAAGACGUCCCAUCCUUAGACGGAUCAAAAGGGUGUAAAUCUAACUACCUAAUCCUUGCUUACAGAACUUCAACUGUGGUUUAUCCACUGUAUACAUUCUAGAGCAUGGACAAAGAAAAAGGUUCUUACAACGUCUCAGUUUUUCAUCA